GGUGCCUUCGGGAACUGUGAGACAGGUGCUGCAUGGCUGUCGUCAGCUCGUGUUGUGAAAUGUUGGGUUAAGUCCCGCAACGAGCGCAACCCUUAUCCUUUGUUGCCAGCGAUUAGGUCGGGAACUCAAAGGAGACUGCCAGUGAUAAACUGGAGGAAGGUGGGGAUGACGUCAAGUCAUCAUGGCCCUUACGACCAGGGCUACACACGUGCUACAAUGGCGCAUACAAAGAGAAGCGACCUCGCGAGAGCAAGCGGACCUCAUAAAGUGCGUCGUAGUCCGGAUUGGAGUCUGCAACUCGACUCCAUGAAGUCGGAAUCGCUAGUAAUCGUGGAUCAGAAUGCCACGGUGAAUACGUUCCCGGGCCUUGUACACACCGCCCGUCACACCAUGGGAGUGGGUUGCAAAAGAAGUAGGUAGCUUAACCUUCGGGAGGGCGCUUACCACUUUGUGAUUCAUGACUGGGGUGAAGUCGUAACAAGGUAACCGUAGGGGAACCUGCGGUUGGAUCACCUCCUUACCUUAAAGAA
rnacentral:rRNA from 1 species